CGUUGUGAGCGUUCUCCGCCAGCUUGUCCACCAUCGCUUCCUGAGACGGCGUGAGUUUAAUGAAGCUCAGGUCCAUCGGGGCAGGCUUAUACCCACUUGUCAGCUGGUAACUACAAAGCAAAACAAAAGAGAUAUGUAAUUGGCCUUUCAAAAACAAGUCCAGGCUUAGAAAUCCCUCUAAGGGUCUUUUUAUGGCCCCACCCACUUCUAAUGAUUCCAGACACCACACUGGGGACCGCUGGCCGGUCGGUCAGCAAGCCUGGAGCCCUUCAUGCACGCUAAUAACUCAUUAGGCACAAAGGCCACGCGAUCUUUGUUUUCAUUUUUAUGUCAAUAAAACUAAAAUAAGACACCUUACCUAUCUCUCAAAGUUGAGAAACACUUAGUGUUUCUGAGUUCCUAAUAUUUGAGGCUUUUUUAUAGUAUUAACGAAAAUACUGGUUACCAAUGAAAACAUGUGAUAGAUUUCUCUUCCUGUUUAUAUUUUCAAUUUUCAAAUGUUAUAUUAAAUUCAUAUAUUCAUUUAAUAAACCUGUGGGUCCUUUCAGAUACUAACUGUUCAUUAUUGCAUAGGGAGAUUUUAAUGCAUUUAUGAAUUCAUUCCCCCUUUUUGACUUCCCUGGUUAUGUAAUUUAGGAAGCCUCUGGAUAAGACAGAGAGUAGGAAAUCCCAGGUGCAUAAUCAUCUAAAAUAUUAGGAAGGCCUGGAUUUUAGGGAAUUCUUAUCAGAGACUACUUCCACACUCUGAAAUGGAAAGAAAGUACUAAAACGAGCAUAAGUUUUCAUGUUUCAGAAGAAAUAUAAAAUUGAAAAUAUAAAAAUUUAAACAUGCACGUAUUAGGGCAAUAAUACUGUCCUACUUCUCUGUACAGACACACACACAGCUGCCUCAUUCUCUUUUUUAACUACUGAGAUUUGAACAAAGCCUAUUUUAUAGCUGCCUCCCUGCCAUUCUUCUGUCAUUGUUCUAUUCCCUAUAAUCAACAAUGCCUUGAGGUCAGGAUCUGUUUCUAAUCCAUUUUUCUAACUGUCUUUAUACUUGAAACAGGGCAUGGCAGAUAAGCAGCCUUUUGAUGAUCUGUAGUGUUUGCAAGAAUUAACUUUAUAUACUGAAUAUAAAGUAUUCUGGGCUAUGGCUCUCAGAAUUAGCAGGCAACCUUCUUUGGAGCAGAGAGUUUGACUGCCAUAUUCCUCACUAUCUGUCAAACGGAGAAUAGUACCAGAUACAUGCCUCUCCCACCUCUCAAGCUUCCUUGUUUAGGAUGAAUCAGGUUAAAUGAAGCUUGGAAGUCAUUAUGCUGUGAAAGAUGCGCAGUAAACAUGAAAAGAUUAUGUCCAAGUUCAGUGGAUGUGAGGUGUAAAUUUCAAAACCAAAUCCGCCCUUCAAGUACCUUGGAACAAAUGGGAAAAUCUCAGAUGACUGCACAUCAGAGAUAUUCAGGACAAGUUUUUGCUGGAAGCACAUCUACUAAAAAUGCAUACUGGGCUGACAUUUUCACAGAAAGAACAGAAAGAGAAUUCAAAACUCCUCCAGAGCACAAAUACGGGAGAAUUAAUUUCAAUGUACAAAUUAGGAGGGAAAUGGACAAGGGAUAUGUUUCUUCUAUUACUUCACUUCCUUGUUUUUAAGUAAAGGUAAUAUGAUGAAGUGCCCUGGAGACCUGCCCCCACCACCCAACUCCCUUUUAUCAAUUUCUUUUUACUCCAAGGCCUUCCCCUACCCCAAAGCCCCUUUGAAACAAAACCACAAGGUAUCCAGUGCCCCAAGAAGGGGUCAUCUCAAGAGAGAGACCAAAGAAAGCCAUUCUUGGUUUGGAUUUUUAAAAUAGACUUUGAAAAUUCACUGCAGAGACCAUAGUCUUUUAGAUAAAGGCCUUCGGACAGUAAAAGUUAGGUUUUUGAGUAUCAAAAGAGCAAGGCCCAGAUGCCUUGGGACAGAAGGCAUAAAAUAAAUACUACCGAUAAAGACUUCUUAUGCCCUGCGCAAAUAGGUUCCACAGAGCCUAGAAGAACAGGAGGAUUUAGAGGGAAGCCAGAGUUCUCCAACCCCCACCCAGGAAGAGACCAGGUAGAUCCCGCGGCCAAAGUGAACUUCUGUCUUGUCCCCAGAGUGUACCAAGGAUAAUGGCCAGGUCCUAGAAUCUCUCAUACCCAAGCCCUUCAUCGUGCAGCACGACUACAGAAAAACAGAUAUGGCAGCCAGCCAAGUCUCCCACCUCCCUCCACCAACUGACUGCAGUCCCCAAGUUGCCAGAGAGAAUAUUCUCAGGUUUCUAGCAAUGAAGAGGCAAAAAGAAGAGCAGUGACCUGGAGGACUCAAAGAAAUGAGAAGGAGAAACCCACUGUGUGGACUCAUUACCAAGACCAGUGCAGAAAACAGGCACCCCAUAAGAUGCCAGCAGAGGUGAAUGAAGACAAAAGACAAAGACACUCAGACCAAACUCGAGUCAGGCUCCUCUGAAUCCUCUUUCUGUCUAGGACUCUGACCUUGGGCUCUGUCAUGUUCCAAUUAGUUCCAUUUUAGCAAGAAUCCUACUGAUCAAUCAGUUUAAGGAAAAUCCUCCAACCUUCCUAUCGGAUGGCAUCCCUCAUCCCCUACCUUGUUAUCCCAUCACCUGGUCUGCCUUCAGCAAGAAUCCUAUCAAGUUCAUCUUGCAGAAUCCCCCUUCUUGAUGUGUCUUCCUAAGUAAUUUUCUAUCUACUGACCUGCAGCCCUGCUGCUCCUUGGUUAUAAAUCCCCACUUAUCAUUGUUGUAUUCAGAAUGGAGUCCAGUUCUAUACAUGGUCUCUCUUCCCUAUUUGCAAAAGUUCCUGAAUACAAUUUGCCUUUAUGGCUUUAACUCCUGUCCAGCUCUGGUUUUCUUUGACAUAAAUCAGUCCUGGCAGCACAGUCAAAUGAGGUGGACGAUGGAUCCAGUGUUCGCUCCCCAUUGGGUGAGUGUCCUAAACACAGGUGGUCCUGGGAGUAAGAGGAGGGUAGACCUUCAAUUCAAAUCCAACAACGAAUAUUCAUUUGGCGGUAGAAUGUUUUAGGCCCUAUUCCAGGAACUAAUGAUAUAUCACUGAACAAUAUGGACAAAAAAGUCUAUAGGAAUUAUAUUCGGAUGCCAGUAGGCAGUAAACAAAGUGUAAAACAAUAGUAUGUUAGAAGAUGUAAGUGCUACGGGGAAAAAUAAAGUAGAAGAGGGGACAUGGGGAAAAGUACAAUUUUACAUAGGGAACUAUUUUAUUUUUUUUAAGAUGUCAAGAAAAACCGCUUGGAGAAUAUGACAUUUCAAUCAAAAAUUUAAAGGUGAGAAUAAACACAGAAAACAAUGAUUUUAAGAGUUUUCCCUGAAAAGACUAGGAUUAAGUUUCUAAUACUAAGCUUCAUUCUGGUGCAAGGCCCUUUGGGCUUGAAUGCAAGAUUAAACCUGAUCAGAGAAAAUAAAGAACAUUGCACGCUAGCGCAUUUUUUAAUUUGUGGUUUGUGAAAUUUACUCCUUACACAGAAAAGAAGUCUAUAAACCGGUUUUGUUUUUUCGUGAUCACAGUGCCUCACCAUGACAGAAAAAAUCCAAUGGUAUUUGUAACACUGCCUUUCACUUAGGUAAAUAUUUACACCAACUGAAUUUGGUACAUGUACUAUGUCAUGGGUCCACACAUUUCAGCAUCCAAGCCUUCAUCUCAAAAAGUCAUUUGUAUCUAUAUACAUGCAUUCUUAGCCUUAGAUUAUCAUUCUUAGCCUUUUAUGUGGCUCAAUAUGCCUGAGACACCACUUACCCCUCCAUUUCCCAUCACCACCAGGGGCUUCAUUAGCAUUAGUGGUAAGAAGGUAGUGGGGUAUGGAGGGGAUUUGUCACUGGAUUUAAAGACCGCUCAGACAAUCUAAACACUACCAAUUCAUAAUUCAACAUCACCUAUUGUUCCCAGUGAUACAGUCAGACAACCAGUUCCUGGUCCUAUGUUCUGUGCUGAUUUAUUAACACACAUGAGUGCUAAAGAAAAGUUUUAAUAAAUGGCAUUGGUAUUUAGACAAGGAUUUUCUUUUCACUUAAACCUAUAGUUUUGGGGGCACCUAGGUAGCUCAGUCAGUUAAG